GAUUGAGAUGAUGAUAUUUUGGUUCUGAAAAAAACAUAAAUGUUGACUAAAAAGUCAGACUACAAUUAUCUGAUCAUUU
rfam:Gossypium raimondii Chr04_contig_130, whole genome shotgun sequence.